rnacentral:rRNA from 1 species
CAGCCGCCGCGGGAAUACGAAGGGUGCAAGCGUUACUCGGAAUUACUGGGCGUAAAGCGUGCGUAGGUGGUGGUUUAAGUCCGUUGUGAAAGCCCUGGGCUCAACCUGGGAAUCGCAGUGGAUACUGGGUCACUAGAGUGUGGUAGAGGAUAGUGGAAUUUCCGGUGUAGCAGUGAAAUGCGUAGAGAUCGGAAGGAACAUCUGUGGCGAAGGCGACUAUCUGGGCCAACACUGACACUGAGGCACGAAAGCGUGGGGAGCAAACAGGAUUAGAUACCCCCGUAGUCCCUGUCUCUUAUAA